rnacentral:rRNA from 1 species
GCAUAGACAGCCAGGAGGUUGGCUUAGAAGCAGCCACCCUUGAAAGAGUGCGUAACAGCUCACUGGUCGAGUGAACCUGCGCGGACAAUGUAACGGGGCUAAAACACACCACCGAAGCCGCGGAUGCCGCAUUGCCUACGGGUAAUGGGGUGUGGUAGCAGAGCGUCGAUCUUGCUGUGAAGCAGCUGCGGAAGCAGUUGUGGAGCGUGGUCGAGUGCGAAUGUAGGCAUGAGUAGCGAGAGAGGGGUGAGAAACCCUUCCACCGAAAGCCCAAGGGUUCCUGGGGAAGGCUAUUCCUCCCAGGGUGAGUCGGGACCUAAGGCGAGGCCGAAAGGCGUAGUCGAUGGAUAACUGGUUGAUAUUCCAGUACCGCUGAGAGCGCGUCCAGGCUUAACCGAAGUUGCUAACUGGAUGUCCGGAUCCUUAGGGAGCCGGAAGGAAAGGACCCACUUUGGAGCGGCCAGCAAUGCAGGGACGAAGAAUGGUAGGUGAACCCAGGCGAUGGUUGUCCUGGGGUAAGUGCUUAGGCCGGGGCAUAGGUAAAUCCGUUCCCCGUUAAGGCUGAAACACGAUGCCGAGUCGAAUACGACGAAGUCAUUGAUCCACUACUUCCAAGAAAAUCUGCUAGCGAGCUCUCUUAGCGCCCGUACCCCAAACCAACACAGGUGGGCAGGUAGAGAAUACUAAGGUGUAUGAGAUAACCAUGGUUAAGGAACUCGGCAAAUUGCAUCCGUAACUUCGGGAUAAGGAUGACCUCAUGGGUUUAUAGCCUAAUGAGGUGGCACAAACUAGGGGGGAGCGACUGUUUACUAAAAACACAGCAGGGUGCUAAGUCGUAAGACGAUGUAUACCCUGUGACGCCUGCCCGGUGCUGGAAGGUUACGGGGACCGGUUAGCUGUAAAGCGAAGCUGUGAACCUAAGCCCCAGUAAACGGCGGCCGUAACUAUAACGGUCCUAAGGUAGCGAAAUUCCUUGUCGGGUAAGUUCCGACCUGCACGAAUGGCGUAACGACUCCCCUACUGUCUCAACCAUGGACUCAGCGAAAUUGAAGUACGAGUAAAGAUGCUCGUUAGCUACAGAAGGACGGAAAGACCCCGUGGACCUUUACUAUAGCUUGAUAUUGGUGUUUGAUUUGCGUUGUGUAGGAUAGGUGGGAGACUAGGAAGUCGGAGCGCUAGCUUCGGUGGAGUCAACCUUGAAAUACCACCCUGCGUACGUUGACCAUCUAACCUUGGACCGUGAUCCGGUUCGGGGACAGUGUCAGGUGGGUAGUUUGACUGGGGCGGUCGCCUCCUAAAGAGUAACGGAGGCGUUCAAAGGUUCCCUCAGACUGGUUGGCAAUCAGUCUUCGAGUGCAAUGGCAUAAGGGAGCUUGACUGCGAGACCUACAAGUCGAGCAGGUACGAAAGUAGGACAUAGUGAUCCGGCGGUUGCGUGUGGAAGCGCCGUCGCUCAACGGAUAAAAGGUACCCCGGGGAUAACAGGCUAAUCUUCCCCAAGAGUCCAUAUCGACGGAAAGGUUUGGCACCUCGAUGUCGGCUCAUCGCAUCCUGGGGCUGAAGCAGGUCCCAAGGGUUGGGCUGUUCGCCCAUUAAAGCGGUACGCGAGCUGGGUUUAGAACGUCGUGAGACAGUUCGGUCCCUAUCCUCUGUAGCCGGAAGAGAUUUGAGGAAAGCUGCCCCUAGUACGAGAGGACCGGGGUGGACGAAGCUCUCGUGUGCCAGUUGUCCUGCCAAGGGCAUGGCUGGUUGGCGACCUUCGGACGGGAUAACCGCUGAAAGCAUCUAAGUGGGAAGCCCAUUCCAAGAUGAGAUCUCUCACUGGGUUAACCAGGUAAGGCCCGUGGAAGAACACCACGUUGAUAGGCCGGAAGUGUACGCACGGUAACGUGUUUAGCUGACCGGUACUAAUCGGCCGAGGGCUUGAUUAA